rnacentral:rRNA from 1 species
UACGUAGGAGGCGAGCGUUGUCCGGAAUCACUGGGCGUAAAGCGUGCGCAGGCGGUUCGUUAAGUCAGCUGUGAAAGCCCCGGGCUCAACCUGGGAAUUGCGGUUGAAACUGGCGAACUAGAAUCUGGCAGAGGGGGGUGGAAUUCCACGUGUAGCAGUGAAAUGCGUAGAGAUGUGGAGGAACACCGAUGGCGAAGGCAGCCCCCUGGGCUAAGAUUGACGCUCAGGCACGAAAGCGUGGGGAGCAAACAGGG